rnacentral:rRNA from 1 species
AGAGUUUGAUUAUGGCUCAGGACGAACGCUGGCGGCGUGCCUAACACAUGCAAGUCGAACGGUCUCGAUUUCGAACUUCGAUCUUCGAAUAUCGAACAUCGAGAUAGUGGCGGACGGGUGAGUAACGCGUGGGUAACCUGCCCAUAAAGCCGGGACAACCCUUGGAAACGAGGGCUAAUACCGGAUAAUCUUAGGGAGUGGCAUCACUGCUUAAGGAAAGAGGGCCUCUGAAAAUGCUCUUGAUUAUGGAUGGACCCGCGUCUGAUUAGCUGGUUGGUGGGGUAAAGGCCUACCAAGGCGACGAUCAGUAGCCGGCCUGAGAGGGUGAACGGCCACACUGGGACUGAGACACGGCCCAGACUCCUACGGGAGGCAGCAGUGGGGAAUCUUCCGCAAUGGACGAAAGUCUGACGGAGCAACGCCGCGUGUAUGAUGAAGGUCUUCGGAUUGUAAAGUACUGUCUUUAGGGAAGAACGGCAGGUAUGAAAAAAUUGUAGCUGCAUGACGGUACCUAAGGAGGAAGCCCCGGCUAACUACGUGCCAGCAGCCGCGGUAAUACGUAGGGGGCGAGCGUUGUCCGGAAUUAUUGGGCGUAAAGGGCGCGUAGGCGGGUAUUUAAGUCCGAUGUGAAAGAUCAGGGCUCAACCCUGAGAGUGCAUCGGAAACUGGGUAUCUUGAGGACAGGAGAGGAAAGUGGAAUUCCACGUGUAGCGGUGAAAUGCGUAGAUAUGUGGAGGAACACCAGUGGCGAA